AGAGCCUCCCAGCUGCUGGCCCAGCCAAGUGCUAUGCCAGCAGUCUCUCCCCUCCUCACGGGAGUGUCACCCCUGUUCACACCUGAGGACACGGCUCAGAGCAGGAAGGGAUAAAGGUGGAUGAGAGAAUGAAGCUCAGCUCCACUUCCCCGCUAGGAGGAAAUGAGGCAGAGAAGAGAGGCAACUCGGCAUCAGUUGUCCACGGGACAGUCCCAAGCCUGGAUUUGAACACAGGUGGAGAUGUGAUGUCAUUUUAGUACUCUUUUUGAGAAGUUGACCAAAAGAAGCGGCCAUCUCUUGCAACCUGGGGAUAUUUGAGUUUCCUCUGUGAUGAAGCUUCGGCUGCUCCCCCCACCUGCUUCUGCCCUCCCCUCUACUCUGCUGUUGUUUUCUUUUUUUUCCCAUUGCAUUAUCUACCUUCUAGCGUGUUAUUAACUGCUCCAGUUUCCCAGGCCACUGCCUGUCAUCUGGCCUCCUGGCUGGAACAUCAGCCCCACUAGGGCAGGGACCUUGUCUGUUUUGUGCUUGGCCUACAAAAGUGCCCAGCACCCAGUAGGACCUCAUGGGCCUCAUGUAUAAAACUUCUUUUUUUUUUGAGACGGAGUCUCGCUCUGUCACCCAGACUGGAGUGCAGUGGUGCAAUCUCGGCUCACUGCAACCUCCGCCUCCUGGGUUCAAGCGAUUCUCCUUCCUCAGCCUCCAGAGUAGUUGGGACAACAGGAGCGUGCCACAAUGCCCAGCUAAUUUUUGAUAUUUUUAGUAGAGGUGGGGUUUCACCGUAUUAGCCAGGAUGGUCUCCAUCUCCCGACCUCGUGAUCCACCCGCCUUGGCCUCCCAAAGUGCUGGGAUUAUAGGCAUAAGCCAUCGCGCCCGGCCAUGUAUAAAACUUUUGUUGAUGAAUACAUGAAUCACCAACUGAAAAUAAAUUUUGAGCAAGCAAACCAAAUAUAAGGCAGAAACAACUGUCUUGAAAGUCAACAUAGGCCAGGCACAGUGGCUCACGCCUGUAAUCCCAGCACUUUGGGAAGCCGAGGAGGGUGGAUCACCUGAGGUCAGGAGUCCGAGACCGGCCUGGCCAACAUGGCAAAACCCUGUCUCUACUAAAAAUACAAAAAUUAGCUGGGGGUGGCGAUGCGUGCCUGUAAUCCCAGCUACUUGGGAGGCUGAGGCAGGAGAAUCGCUUGAACCUGGGAGCGGAGGUUGCAGUGAGCUGAAAUUGCACCACUGCACUCCAGCCUGGGUGACAAAGUGAGACUCCUCAAAAAAAAAAAAAAAAAAAGUCAGCAUAAAUGGGCCAGGCGCAGUGGCUCACACCUGUAAUCCUAGCACUUUGGGAGGCUGAAGUGGGCAGAUUGCUUGAGCCCAGGAGUUUGACACCAGCCUGGGUAACAUGGCAAAACUCUGUCUCUACAAAAAAUUUAAAAAUUAGCUGGGUAUGGUGGCGCAUGCCUGUAGUCCCAGCUACUUGGGAGACUGAUACGGGAGGAUAGCUUGAACUUGGAAGGUCGAGGUUGCAGUGAGCUGUGAUUGUGCCACUGCACUGAAAGAGUGAGACCCUAUCUAAAAAAAAUAAUAAAAUCAGCAUAAAUGUUUUAAUGUCACACUAGAGUGUCCCUGAGUUAUUAAUCUGUAAACUUGUGGUUGGAAAUUCUUUUUCAACCAGUUUGUUUUCAGCGUUUCUCCAGGGACCAGAAAGAAUUAGGAAAACAAAUAAAAACAUGGUCUGACCAGCAGCAUAGACAUCAAAUGCUCAAAGUAAUUGCAAAUUUAAAUUAAAAAAAGAAAAGAGUUUAAAGAAAUAACAAAACUGUUCAAAAGACCAGAAAAUUUUGGCUUUGGAUUCAAGAUUCACAAAAAGUUAUCCAAAAACUCCCCCAAAAUUCUGAGAAAUGGACAGAAACAUUUUAAGGGAUGUAGCAGGUUGUAAAACGACCCUGUAGCACACAAAAUUCCAGUAAGGAAGAAGCCACAGGUUGUGGGGAGAUCUGCUGUUGGACAAAAUGUCAUAUCCUGGCCGGGCGUGGUGGCUCACUCCUGUAAUCCCAGCACUUUGGGAGGCCGAGGUGAGCAGAUCAUGAGGUCAGGAGAUCGAGACCAUCCUGGCUAACAUGGUGAAAGCCCAUCUCUACUAAAAAUACAAAAAAUUAGCCAGGUGUGGUGGCAGACGCCUGUAGUCCCAGCUACGCGGGAGGCUGAGGCAGGAGAAUGGCGUGAACCCAGGAGACGGAGCUUGCAGUGAGCCGAGAUCGCGCCACUGCACUCCAGCCUGGGCGACAGAGCAAGACUCCUUCUCAAAAACACAGAACAAAACAAAAUAAAACAAAACAAAAUGUCAUAUCCCUCCCAUUGGUGUUUGGUCAAAGGCCCUGAAACAGGCCCCCAUGAGCUGAGACCCUCCUCACCUCAGCCUGGUGGUUCCUACUGAAGGGCUCCUCCCUAGCCUCAACCUUGUCCUCUCAGGGGGGCCCUGAAGGCUGGUCCCAGGACCACAAACCCCAGCUCCACUC
rnacentral:lncRNA from 1 species